UUUUUUGUAAAGGAACAUUUUUUCCAUAGAAAAACAAAAGAAUAUUGGGUAUCAAUCCGUGACAGAAAAUGAAUAUAACCACAUUAAAAAAUUAAGCAAAGGAACAGCGCUGUAAUUGCUGUAAGUCACAUUAAACCUUCAACGUGGAACGAAAAGUAUCUCACAGCACUGCACGUGUAAGACGACCACUAGCAACAGCCAGAGCGAAAUAGUUUGCCAAAAAAAAUGAAUAGACUUCGUAAGAUGUUACACCAACCAUUUUGGGAGCGUUCAAAAAGGAAAGAAGUACGUAUUUAAAAAUUUUAGUAGUUCUUACGUAUUUAAAUCAAACUAUAUUAUAUGCAGAAUAAUUUUUGGUAAGUUAUAUAGAUACAUAUAUCAAAUGAAAGGGUAAGGACUGCUGAACCUUGCAGAACACACA
rnacentral:lncRNA from 1 species